CCCUUGAGCCCUCAAAACUCUCACAAAUAUCGACAUGCCCCUUUCUCCGGCGAAGGCUCUUCCACAGGCAUAGAAAUGCACAAUCUGUUGUUUGUUUCUCCUUCCUCUUUUCUUCUGAAUUAGUGGUUACGUCAAAGAGAAACUACAACAUAGCAGUGUAGCUUGUUCGAGACUUUGCACUACUAACAGAAUGGGAUGGGACCUCACUUGCAAGGUGCAACGAUUGUGGAUGAAAGCAGUGACGAAGACCUUACUUGAGUGUUGUUGAGUGACGAAGACUUUACUUGAGUAUUGUUAGACUUUCUAUUAUCAUGUUCAAGGAUAUUUUAGUUUUGAACUUUUUGGAUGCAAACUCAUCUAUUGACUUUUGAAUUGUUGAUCAAACAAUGUAUUCAAUUUUGUUUUUAUAUAUGGAUAAU